rnacentral:rRNA from 1 species
UACGUAGGGUGCGAGCGUUGUCCGGAAUUAUUGGGCGUAAAGGGCUCGUAGGCGGUCUGUUGCGUCAGGAGUGAAAACUCGGGGCUUAACCCCGAGCCUGCUUCUGAUACGGGCAGACUAGGGGUAUGCAGGGGAGGACGGAAUUCCUGGUGUAGCGGUGAAAUGCGCAGAUAUCAGGAGGAACACCGGUGGCGAAGGCGGUUCUCUGGGCAUUACCUGACGCUGAGGAGCGAAGGCCAGGGGAGCAAACGGG